rfam:Triticum aestivum genome assembly, contig: Triticum_aestivum_CS42_TGACv1_scaffold_210487_3AS
CUUAUACUCCCUCCGUCCAAAAAUACUUGUCAUGAAAAUGGAUAAAAGAGGAUAUAUCUAGACGUAUUUUAGUUCUAGAUACAUCUAUUUUUAUCCAUUUUGAUGAUAAGUAUUUUUGGACGGAGGGAGUUGGAG